GUGCUUACACAUGCAGUCGAACGCGAACGUUUCCUUCGGGAAACUAGUAGAGUGGCGCACGGGUGAGUAACGCGUAAGUAAUCUACCCUCGCAUCUGGGAUAACCCACCGAAAGGUGUGCUAAUACCUGAUACGUCUGGAAUUAUACUUUGAAUCUAGAGAAAGGUGGCCUCUUCAUGAAAGCUACUGUGCGGGGAGGAGCUUGCGUACCAUUAGCUAGUUGGUAGGGUAACGGCCUACCAAGGCGAUGAUGGUUAGCGGGUCUGAGAGGAUGAUCCGCCACACUGGAACUGAAACACGGACCAGACUCCUACGGGAGGCAGCAGUGAGGAAUAUUGCGCAAUGGGGGCAACCCUGACGCAGCGACGCCGCGUGGAUGAUGAAGGCCUUCGGGUUGUAAAAUCCUGUCAGAUGGGAAGAAGUGCUAUAGUGUUAAUAUCGGUAUAGUUUGACGGUACCAUCAAAGGAAGCACCGGCUAACUCCGUGCCAGCAGCCGCGGUAAUACGGAGGGUGCAAGCGUUGUUCGGAAUUACUGGGCGUAAAGCGCGCGUAGGCGGCUAUUCAAGUCAG
rnacentral:rRNA from 1 species